AUUCCUCUAGUUCCACUUUU
rnacentral:snRNA from 1 species